rnacentral:lncRNA from 1 species
CAUAAAUGAACACCCGAAUUUAAAAAAAUUAAUAUUAAAAUAACGCGCAUAAAGCAACUAUGCACUUUCAACUUAACUAGGACCGUGAAUCCAACGCCACGGAAGCAAAUUGAAUCCAGCCCCAAAACUUUUACAAACCACUGAUAGUGACUAUGUUAUCUAAAUGUACUAAACAAAUUCAUGAUACUAGCACGAAUAAAACACGACACUGAUAAAAAGUUGAAGAAUAAAGUAAGACUAAAUACAAUCAUCCAAUUAGUAUUUGACCUGGGUUAUUUCCGGAAGAAAACCAAUCGAUACGUCAAUCAUCUCGUAGUACCAACAAUAACAGAGAUUGAGCAAGAAAAAGUAUAGCGUCGUUUAAACCACAAAAUAAAUACUGUUGAUAUUAAUUUGAAAGGACCCAUCUCAACAACAAAAGGGAGCAGAUAUGGUAUACCUCAUUUACAACUUUAAUAUCCUCUCCGUUUCUCCUCCACGAACUGAAAAUCAGCAACAAUGACUUGGACUGAAACCUCGAUGACGACCUCAACAGCUCAAUGAUUGGAAACCUCUCCCGUUUCUGUCACUAUUUCUGCUGGAUUUCCUGCCAAUUAUGGUAGCGGCAGAUGUGAGAGGGUGGAACGGUAGCAGUGUGUGUGUGUGUUCGCCGGAGAUGGUAGACUCGUAAUGAACGGAGGUCUGACAAGGGUUAUUGAGUUCCGGAAAUGGCUGCCUCUGUGUGUGUACCUUUCUGAUGACGGCCGGUUAUGAGGUGAAGAAGAAGAAGCGGAGACGGAGGGGGUUGUGUGCUCGAACGGUCUUGUGAAGAUGAGCAGUGGCUGCUGUCAUUUUCCGGCGAACUUGGUUAACGGAUAGAAGCAGAGGGGUUGUCGUUUUGGUGAUUAUCAUUCAGGGGUCGUUGUUUUUGAUUUGUCGAAGAAGAAGAAACAAACACGGGGAAUUCUAUCCCUUUGGCUCAAGAAGAAGAUCGAACUUUUAUGGUGAAAAUGGUUGAUCUCUGCAUGCUCAUGUAGACCUAGGAGAAGAAGACGACGUGGGGGUGGGGGUGUCUUGUGAUGUUAAACGGCACUGCUUGUCAGCCUUUUUCGUUUUUGUCCAUCUUCUGCCCAUUUUAGGCGUUGUAUGUCUAGGUUUACGGGUCUAGGUGUUAGGGUUGGGUAUUGGGUAUUGGGUAUUGGGUGUGGGCUUAGAUUAUUUGGGCCUUAAGAUUGGGCCCAAGACUCCUAAAAUUGUUAUUUAAAAUCAUAGCUAAAUUUCUUUAAUAUACAACAACAAUAAUAAUAACCCAGUAUAAUCCACUUAGUGGGGUCUGGAGAGAGUAGUGUGUACGCAGACCUUACCCCUACCCUUGGGUAGAGAGGCUGUUUCCAUAUAGACCCCCGGCAUCCUUCCCUCCAAGAACUNNNNNNNNNNNNNNNNNNNNNNNNNNNNNNNNNAGUGGGGUCUGGAGAGAGUAGUGUGUACGCAGACCUUACCCCUACCCUUGGGUAGAGAGGCUGUUUCCAAAUAGACUCCCGACAUCCUUCCUCCAAGAACUUC